GUCUACGGCCAUGCUACCCCGAACAAGCCUAAUCCUGUCUGAUCUCGGAAGCUAAGCAGGGUCGGGCUGGGUUAGUAUUUGGAUGGGAGAUCAGCUAAGAAGACCAGAUGCUGCAGGCA
rnacentral:rRNA from 1 species